rnacentral:rRNA from 1 species
UACGAAGGGGGCGAGCGUUGUUCGGAAUUACUGGGCGUAAAGGGCGCGCAGGCGGCCUUAGAAGUCAGAUGUGAAAGCCCCGGGCUCAACCUGGGAAUGGCAUUUGAUACUCUGAGGCUGGAGUACGGGAGAGGAGAGUGGAAUUCCCCAGUGUAGAGGUGAAAAUUCGUAGAUAUUGGGAAGAACACCGGUGGCGAAGGCGGCUCUCUGGACCGUAACUGACGCUGAGGAGCGAAAAGCAUGGGGAGCGAACAGG